rnacentral:rRNA from 1 species
AUUGAACGCUGGCGGAAUGCUUUACACAUGCAAGUCGAACGGCAGCACGGACUUCGGUCUGGUGGCGAGUGGCGAACGGGUGAGUAAUGUAUCGGAACGUGCCCAGUCGUGGGGGAUAACGUAGUGAAAAUUACGCUAAUACCGCAUACGAUCUAUGGAUGAGAGCGGGGGAUCGCAAGACCUCGCGCGAUUGGAGCGGUCGAUAUCAGAUUAGGUAGUUGGUGGGGUAAAGGCCCACCAAGCCAACGAUCUGUAGCUGGUCUGAGAGGACGACCAGCCACACGGGAACUGAGACACGGUCCAGACUCCUACGGGAGGCAGCAGUGGGGAAUUUUGGACAAUGGGCGAAAGCCUGAUCCAGCCAUUCCGCGUGCAGGAUGAAGGCCCUCGGGUUGUAAACUGCUUUUGUACAGAACGAAAAGGUUUCUACUAAUACUAGGAGCUCAUGACGGUACUGUAAGAAUAAGCACCGGCUAACUACGUGCCAGCCGCCGCGGUAA